rnacentral:rRNA from 1 species
GGAAGUAAAAGUCGUAACAAGGUUUCCGUAGGUGAACCUGCGGAAGGAUCAUUAACGAAUAACUAUGGUGUUGGUUGUAGCUGGCUCCUCGGAGCAAUGUGCACGCCCGCCAUUUUUAUCUUUCCACCUGUGCACCGACUGUAGGUCUGGAUACCUCUCGCCUCCGGGCGGAUGCGAGGGUUGCUCGAGAGGGCUUCCCUUGAACUUCCAGGCUCUACGUCUUUUUACACACCCCAAUAGUAUGAUGCAGAAUGUAGUCAAUGGGCUUCUCAGCCUAUAAAACACUAUACAACUUUCAGCAACGGAUCUCUUGGCUCUCGCAUCGAUGAAGAACGCAGCGAAAUGCGAUAAGUAAUGUGAAUUGCAGAAUUCAGUGAAUCAUCGAAUCUUUGAACGCACCUUGCGCUCCUUGGUAUUCCGAGGAGCAUGCCUGUUUGAGUGUCAUUAAAUUCUCAACCUCACCAGUUUUCUGAACUGACUGAGGCUUGGAUGUGGGGGUUUGUGCAGGCUGCCUCACGGCGGUCUGCUCCCCUGAAAUGCAUUAGCGAGGUUCAUGCUGGACCUCCGUCUAUUGGUGUGAUAAUUAUCUACGCCGUGGACGAGGAUACAGACUCGCUUCUAAUCGUCCGCGAGGACAAUACCUUGACAAUUUGACCUCAAAUCAGGUAGGACUACCCGCUGAACUUAAGCAUAUCAAAAGGCGG